rnacentral:rRNA from 1 species
ACACGUAGGGGGCGAGCGUUGUUCGGAAUCAUUGGGCGUAAAGGGCGUGCAGGCGGUCCUGCAAGUCCGGCGUGAAAGACCCCGGCCCAACCGGGGGGACGCGCUGGAAACUGCGGGGCUUGAGUACAUGAGGGGAUGCCGGAAUUCCAGGUGUAGGGGUGAAAUCUGUAGAUAUCUGGAAGAACACCAAUGGCGAAGGCAGGCAUCUGGCCAUGUACUGACGCUGAGACGCGAAGGUGCGGGGAGCAAACAGGUUUAGAUACCCUGGUAGUCCGCACAGUAAACGAUGUGCACCAGGUGGCGGGGGGUCGACCCUCGGUACCGUAGCUAACGCAUUAAGUGCACCGCCUGGGGAGUAUGCUCGCAAGGGUGAAACUCAAAGGAAUUGACGGGG